AUACGGAGGGUGCAAGCGUUAAUCGGAAUUACUGGGCGUAAAGCGCGCGUAGGCGGUUCGUUAAGUCAAAUGUGAAAGCCCCGGGCUCAACCUGGGAAUUGCAUUCGAAACUGAUGAGCUAGAGUAUGGUAGAGGCAAGUGGAAUUUCAGGUGUAGCGGUGAAAUGCGUAGAUAUCUGAAGGAACAUCAGUGGCGAAGGCGACUUGCUGGACUAAUACUGACGCUGAGGUGCGAAAGCGUGGGGAGCAAACAGGAUUAGAAACCCCUGUAGUCC
rnacentral:rRNA from 1 species